rnacentral:lncRNA from 1 species
AUAAUGAACUACAUAAUAAAGUGCGAGAUGUAAUCAAACAUUACCAAUUAUGAUAAAUAAUUUACUAAAUAUAGUUGCUUAAACUAAUCUAACUUAAUGAUUAAGUAGAUAGUGACUAUAACUCAAAAACUCUGAAUCCACACAAGCUAAAAACUCAAGAAUUCAUUCAUAUUACAGUCAUUAAUUAAUAUUUAACAUUAACUGUCAAGAGAUGCAGUUAACAGAUACAGAGGAACUGAGAUCUAUUGAUAACUGGAUCGACCAGAGCAACAAUGAAAGUCCUCUAGAAGACUAGUACCAUAAGCAAAAGCCACAUAAUAUUUCAUAUUAGCCACCACUAAUUGAACCUCAAUUGGAUGCAGAGUGAGGAGGAGGAGGAGGAGGAGGACGUCCAGUAAAUUCAGAAACGAUUCCUUUGAAAAUAUUUCCCCUUGUUGGCGGAACCGUGGGCCUCAUCCCAGUGGCGGCCACCCUCGCACCGCACCUACCCUGGCCACGAUUUGGGUUGUUAGCACCGCCGUCGCCGUUAUCCCGACUUGGUCCGCCGCUAUAUCCAGUAUCACUCAUCUUCCACUCUUUUUAGCACAGAUUCACGAGAAUUGUGCACUGAACCGGAGUUCUUUUAUUUUUUUGAACGGAGUUCUUGCUUAUAAAGAAUGAGGCAAAAGAGAAGGGUACAAGAGCCCACCACAAGCACGCGCGAGAUAAUCCUAUUAAAUCAUGCCAGUUGGUACAAUGAAUUUGGACAACAAAACGAUCGGAUAAAUAUUAAAGACAAAACAUUUUUUAGAUUAUAAGUUGAUAAAUUCAUAAAGUACGUGAUUAAAAAAAGAAUAAAAAUUAUGAAUUCAAUGGAAUGUUUAGCUAAAUAGAAGUUUGAUAAUGUUAAUUAAAAAAAAAAAGUCAUCGAAUAAGGAUUUAAGCCCUUGUUUGAGCUUUCUUUUUUUUGGAUAUUGAUUUUUUGAUGAAUAUGUGAUUAAAUUGUAGAAUGAAUUUUUAAAAAAAAAUUGAAUAUUAGAAAAAUGAUAGUUAGCUCAUGUUCGGGCUUCAUUAAAAAUAUAUUUUGAAAUAAUAAAUUUUUUCAAGAAUGUAUAAUUAAAAAUUAAAAAAUUAUUUGAAUUUAUGUAUAAUAUUAUUUUAUAAGAGAACGGGUAAUUCAAACAAUAAAAAGAGAGAAAAGUGAAUUUUUUUUCAAGGACGGGGUCGGCCUAAAUUUUAAAGUUUUUGAAUUAUUAAUGAGAAAUGUGGGAACUUGGAAAAAUUUGAUGUCACCAAGAGGUCACGCCUGUAUUAUAUGCCUGAGCAUUUGUUAAACUUAUUAGCUGGCUUUGCACUGUAAAGCAUUUUAUUUCCUAUUUUUUCUAACAUCAGAGAUCUUAUUAUAUUUCGAAUUAAAUAAUGUCAAUAAGGAUAAGCACGACACUAAUUUAAAAUAAAAUAAGAAAUUUCGCCCAUCAGUACAUCCGAAAGAUUUAGCGAAGAUAUCGUAUUUGUAUAGAUAUUUUUGACCAAAAUUCUACAAAUCAUUGGUCUAAAACUUAUUUUAAAAACCAAAUAAAUUCAAGACACUCGUACUCUGACUUUUGACUCUUAAGUCUUAAGAAAUCUAGAAGAAAGUUAAUUUAUUUAUUAUUUUCUAUCAAUGAGUUGAACAAGAAAAUUUGAAGACUUCACCCUUAUUCUUGAUUCUGAUUUAAUCUGACGGUGCAAAUGGGUGUGAGGUUGUUGACAAUUUUGACUUUGUUGAAUUCUUCUUCAUUUUCUUAUUCUUCUUCGGGUAACUUUCCCCACUCGAUGAUAGAAUUUUCCUUAUGUUACUGAUAUUUUUGCUUGAUUCCAUGUUAAUAACUCUCUGAUUUCAUCAUUCCAUCUUCCUCGACCCAAUGAAUACGAACAUUAGACAACACAAAGAGCAAUUUUUACGAAUAAAAAUUUAAAUCGAUUGGAAUCAAAUCAAUUGUACCCGUUAUACUUUGUUAUAGGUUCUGAAGCAAGUACAACUAAAAACUCCAUUUAUUUUUUAGGUAUGGAAAAAAUUGCAUUCUAAAGCUCUUGGUAAAUUAGCAAAUUGUAUUACAUGGUUUAGAUAUUUUUAUUAUAAUAUAAUUGUAUCUCACAAAGGGAGACUAGUGAGCAGAGUUGAUGACUAUUUUCCCAAAAAACACAGGUAAUCAAUCAUGGCAAUGAUCGUCUUAUAAAUCAUAACGUGACCUAUGUUAUAACUUAUCGAUCUAGAUUUUGUCUUACAACUUGACCCUAUGACUAAAAUUUGAAGCGAGAUAUUUUCUAUAAUAGUCAAGUGACGAUUUAAUUGAAAUUUAUGUAAUUUCAAACCAUAUUUUAGAAGCUAGUAAAUAGGUGGGAAAAAAAAAGGUCGAAGCAUGUGUAUUAUAGGACAUUUGUGUAAAACCUGGAGAGAUUGCCAAACCAUUGACAAACCUAUUGAAAUUUAAAGAUAAUCAAAGCAUUUUACGAAGAGUAGAAAGAUCUGUAUGUCCAAAUUUUUCCAUGAUUGUUAAUUCACAUAGAUAAAAACUAAUUAUUUGCCACAUACAUGACAUGAAUCACAAGCUUUCUGCCAUCAAUAGGCAUCAAUCCAAGUCAUUGAAGGAUGUAACUGAGAGUUCCACUUUGGACCUAAGAGAAGAGAAGGUUCGAAAACGAGCUUGUACACAGAUUCUCGACUAGUACAGAUGAAAGAAUUGGUCCAUUCGUAUUUCCUCAAAAAGCUAAUUAUUAUUAAACUUCGAAGGUCAACUUAUAUCAAUUUGAAAAUUAGAUAUGAACUUGCUACUCAAAAAAUAAGUCGAGGACCUAAGCUGUAAUUUCCCUCUUAAGAACAAAAAAUUCUAUUCGAUAAACCCUGAUUAGAUAAACCCUAAAGUAAUCGUCUCUCUCAGUCUUCAAUCCAGCAAUUCAACCCAAACCAGAGGCCCAGAUUGUUCAAUUCGCAGUCGCUGCAACUGUUGCUGCUGUGCCUUUGGGCCAGCCUCUCUCUACAUUCUUUCAGUACGUCAGGAUUCUUUCUUUUUCCACAUAUUUUGUGCUCAAUCAGGUAAAAAAUUCAUCGAUGAAUCUAAUGUAUUAUUUUGCAAUGUCUAAGGCAAAGAAGAUUAAAUAGUGAUUGUGGAAGUGGUGUGAACGAACGAUCCACACAUUGAUAAUUGGCGCACAACUUAUUUUGAUUCUGGAUACAGAUUAAAAAUGAUAGCUUUAUCAGAAUAUUAAAAUAGAAUGUGAUUUUAAAUAUAUUUACCCACAUUAAUCUGCUACUGCUUGAUGUAUGCGCUCAUAAUUUAGUAGUAUAUAAAUUAAUAUAAAGGAUAAAUUUGUACCAUUAAAUGAGAACAGGUGUUUCUCUAGGACAUUACAAACUUAUUUAAAUAACUAUUGCUGCAGGGGACAUGACAAAGAAAAAUAAAUCUUCAAAAAGGAAAGCUAGAGAAAGCAAUGUAGCCACGUCUGAUGGGAUUACUUCUGAGACUAUAUCGGAUAAGAGUAAGCUCCUAUGAACCUUUGUUUAUUGUCUACUCAAAACUGCUGAAAAGUCUCUAAUACGAAAUAUGGAGAAAAUAUGUGAUUGUUAUUGGUAGUUUUUUCUCUUAAACAAAACGAGGAAGGUAAAAUGUCUUGGGAGGAUUCAAAUUUUGAGAGAAGGUGCAAGAGGUUUGUUGUGCUAAAUAUCAGUGGAAUAGAAGCUAAAUUAGUGCUUUUAUCUUUAAUAUCAAAAUAGCUAUUCAAAAAGAUCAAAUAGUCACUCACGUCGAUAGUUCAAUAAUUUUUUUCUCCUCACUUUUGUUUUUGGGAAGAGUAAGAUCAAACUUUGUCGGUAACAUAUUAUCAAUUGUUACAACCCGUGUUAAUCUAUCCUGCUAUUUCUACACCCAAUUUUAUUUACUCUCUUAUUUACCAACAUAUUCUAUCCACAUUUCAAUGAUUCUCAAAUAUCUAAAAUUAAAUAAUACAAAACAUUAACAGCAAAAAUUCGAAAUGAAACUAAUUCACACAAAACGCAAGAAAAAAAAUCAAUCAAGCUCCGUUAAAUGAAAUUGAAUUGCAGAACGUUCACAAAUUUCAAUAAAAACAAGAAUAAGAACUAAAAUUAAGAACAACCAGACCUCAAUCAAUCCAUACAAAAUAUACAACAAAUAAUUUGCGUGGUAAAAUGGAGAGAACAGGUAGCGUCUGAAAAUGGAGAAGAAGAAAGAAAGAUCAUCUAACUUGAGGACGAGUGGGUAUCACUGUAGCCUACAAGGUUUUUUUUUUUUUUGGCAGACGACGUUGUUUUUGCUCGAGAGAUGAAAAAAAAAGUUGUUACAGCAUGUAAAAAUGGAAGAAUCAACUGUUCUUUUUACAAUAAACUAACAUUGCCCUUUUUAUAUAGUAGUGAUAUGAAUGUACAAUCAUCUCAUUCUCGCAUGGCCCCUAUUUUGGCCAAGAAUAAAUAUAGUUUCAAGUUUCUACCAACAAAAGUGCAUCACAUAUUAUACUUUAGCUCAAUGGACCAUGGGCUUACCCUGAUCAUUGAGUCUUAUUUGGUAGUUCAAAACUAUUGUAAUAUAUCUUAGUAGUUAAAUUCAGAGAAACAAACAAGUUAAUAAUAAUAAUAAUCUUCAGUGCUCUUAAAUUUGACAUACCAAACACUUCAUUCAUAAAAGUAGAAAUCUAUAUAUUUCAAGACGAAUCUUUGUGAGUUCGAUAAUUUUUUGUGGAUUAUUAUUAGUAGUGGUAGUAACAAUAGAAGCAGCACUUCUAGUUGUUGUAGUUAGAGAAAAAGAAAAAUUAUUCAAAGAAUAAUCACUUACUAAAUAUAAAUAUCAUUGUUUUCUAGGAUCGAGUGCUCUUUGAUUAUGAUAUAUUUCCGUUCACUGGGAUCUAUAAUUCAAUUUUUGCAUGUAUAGAGUUAAAAGUUGUUCAAAGAGCACAUGGAUCAUGAGUAUUCUAGGAUAUUGCGUAAAAUCGAUAGUGAAUGCACCAAAAUCAACAAAAAUGUCUCUGUCGUAAUCAAAGAAACUUGAAAUUGCAAACCAUCGAUUAGUUCUCAAGCUAGACGCACAGUUUCCUAUAAUUUAAGGAUGUGUUUGCUACAUAUAUUAAGCCCUUGGUUGGGCUCCAUUUCAAUGGAAUUUUGGGGGGAAAUGAGUUUUAGAAUAUUAGUGAUAUUUUAAAGAAUGUGCUGUUAAAAGAUAAGAAAAAAUUUUAGUUUAUGUGUAAUAUUAUUUUAUGGAAUAAUAUGUGGUUGAAAAUGAGUUUUUGAAAAAAUUGGGACCAAACAUAGCUAAAACUCAUUUUUUCUCAAACUCAUUUUUAACCCCACAUUCUUCCAAGAAGUAAUUUUACACAUGGAUUCAUAAGUUUUCCAAACCUUUUAAUCACACAUUCUCUAAAAGAAUUAUUUUUCUAUAAAAUGCAUUCUCAAAAAAGGUACAUCAAACAUGUUUCUCCUCAGUUCUGCUAGAUGCAUUAUGCUAGAAAAUGAAAUUUACUCUUUAUUGAAACUGCUAAAAAUUAGAAUUAUUUUCAACGUCUUUGAUACCAUCAAACAAAUCAAUCAUACUUGGUGUACAAUCAUGUAUGACAAUCUUGUUGACAACAUGUCACAUGGCAAAUUGUCAUUGGAAAGUUUGAAAAACAACUUGUUUUUGCAAACAAUAGUUUUUUGACAAAUAAUACAUUGUCAUCCAUGGUUGUACAAAUAGAUUAAUCGCAAACCAAAUUGCAAGUGUAAAUCACGAAACCAGAUCUGUUGACACAUUUAACCAUUCUCCAGCUACUAGUUUGACAUUCCACUACAGUUUCGAGGUACUGAAUUUUUAGACGUGACACUUAAAAAAUUCUAGUGAGGUUCGAUGGGAUUUUGACACUUCUGAACUGUAGUGAGAUGUCGAAAUAUUAGUGGGGAGACAGCCAAAUAGGUGCAGCAGCUUUUCCCUCGUAAAUAUACUUCACAUUCUUUGUUUUUGUCUUUUUGAUCGAAAACCAGCCUAAUACAGAAUGGUUCAUGCAGAAUUAAGGGGGCAAAAUAAAUAAAUAAAUAAAUAAUUAUAGCACACAACUACCUAGAGAUUGAAAUACUUAGGGUUGUAAUUGUGGGAACACAGAGGAGUGCAUGGUUUGAAGACAUAGGUUAUCAUGUUAAGAAAACUCAGCUUUACUUAAUUCAACCAGAAACGGCACAAAAAUUUGAAGCAAUAGUAGCAAUAAACAAAUGUUCAAAUCUUUCAUCAUCGGAAUCGCAGGCAAUAUUAAGACUUAAAACGAGAACAUGCUUUAAAUUCAAAUGUUGGACUUGUGGUUAAACUCGAAUUUGAAAAUGUUAGAGAACAAAUAAAAUAAAUUGAGUUUCGGCUCAAUUUAUGUUUGCUGUUGAUGAUUUAAAUUCAACACGAUGAGUAAAAUUGCAGUUAUCGCAUCAAGAAAUGACACUAUAAUGCCUAAUCAUAGGAAUAUAAAAAACCUUGACUUUUAUGAAGUUUGGUUUUUGGCAGAAACUAUACUAAUCAUAAAACUGUGCAAGAAUUGUGUUUGUGUUGAAGGCAAAAUUCAAAUUAAUAUGUUUGUUGUUACAACCAAAUUCUUUUAGCUCAAAAAUCGAUGGUUGAAUUGUCAAAGUUAAAGUCAAAGUCAAAUAGGGACUAAAAUGUAAGAAAGUAUUUUAUUGUGGUUAAUUUAUGAGAAAAAAUUAUUUUGAGGGUUUAAGAUGGAUAAAAAUUUUAAGUUUGGAUUUAUUUUUCUAAAUUUGGAAGUUAAGGAUUUAAUACUUUAUUAUAUGAAAUUUAGUAUGACUAAAUGUUAUAUUAUAUGGAAGAUGAGGGACAUACCUUGCAAAACCCCACUAAUUUUUAAACCCAAUUGCCAUUGCUCUACAGAUAUUUUUCAUACCAAUACUGGGCAGAGAGGCUGGAAACGGCAGAGGAGGAAGAAGAAAGAAAAGAAAAGAGAAAGGAAAAAAAAGAAGAGGAAAAGGGAAAGGGAAAAAGAGGAGGAGAAAAAGGAAGAAAAAUAGGUAGUUCAAGCUUGUUUCCAUUCUCCUUUUUCUAUAUUUUCUUCAAGAGGUAAAGGAAUGAUUUUAUGUUAAAUUUCUAGGGUUUUAACUUGUAUAAAUUUCAUAUUUAAGAAACUAAGAGUACAAAUUGGAGCUCAAUUUUGUUGAUUCUUUAAUCUCCAAUUUCAUUAAGGCAAGGAUACCAAUUUUUGGCAAACCCUCGAUUUUAUAUUGGAUACUUGAGUAAGGAUUAAUUGUGAACAUGAUUAUGGUGAUGAUAUAUUAACUUGAAAGAAUGGAUCUAUGGAAUAAGAGGUAAAUUAGAUUGGUGCAAGUGGGAAUUCAAGUUUCAAUAGAUUAGAAUAAAGAAUUAUUUCUAUGUUUGGUAUCUAGUUAAUUAUGAUAAUUUAAAGAUUAGUGAAAGGCUAGAAGGUAAAAUUUGUUUCAAUUGUGAAGGAAACUAAAGAAUAUAUUCAAGUGCCGAAAAGUCAAGUUCUAAAAUUUCAUAAUUAAAUGUUAAGAGAUACUUAGUAUGGGAGUUGUUAAAUUAGUUAUCUUACAUCGGAUUUCAGGUGAUGACGUGAAAGCUUGACAAGGCUGGUCAAUUUGACCAGAUUGCUAUCUAUAGAUCUGUUAGUGGAGAACCUAUUUUUUCAAAAAGAAGAUUUUCUUUUUAUUUUAUAGAAGCAUAUUAAUUACAUGAAAUGUCUUAUUUUCGAGAAAUUGGUAAAUGAUCAUGAUUAUUUUGAAAUUAUCAGAAAACAACUGAUGUAAUUAUCUUACUCUAGUGCACUGAGGGGCUACGGCCGUAUACUAGAGUCAUGUAUUUUAUUCUUAUACACUGAGGGGCUAUAGCCAUGUAUAAGAAUGAUUAUGUUUCCAUCUUGUACACUGAGGGGCUAUGGUCGCGUACUAGAGUCGUGUAUUUAACUCCUAUGCACUGGGGGGCUACAGCCGUGUGUAAGGGUAACUCUUAUCCACUGAGGGGCUACGGCCGUAGGUAAAUGCAUAUAUUAUACUCUAAGGGGCUACCGUCGUGUAUAAAGAUGAUUAUGUUGUUUCCAUCUUGUACACUGAGGGGCUACGAUCGUAUACAUAUUAUUGAUCAGACGGUUUAUGUGCAUAUGAUUUAUAGAUUUCAAAUCAUUAGUAGAUGUUUACAUGGGAUAUAUUUUGAUGUGAAUUUUAAGUAUAUAGGGGAUUAUUAGCCUACAACUUACAUUUCCCCGUUUACAGUUCAACUUAUGGAUUUCAGAUUAUAGAGUUCUGUUUAUUCAGUUUUAAGAAUAAAGCUUCCGGCUUACGAUAUUGAGCAACCACAAUAUUUCAUAGAUUUUCAUGAAUAUCAGAUUCUUUAUAUUCAUUAUACUUUGCAGUUACUUGUCUAGAAUUAAGAACAAAGAAUUUUAUGAUGCAAUCAUGCUUAGUUUAAAAGUGUUGCUAGAUUUUAGCAUUUCUCAAAGAUUUAAUAGAGUUAGAAUUUUUAGGAAAUAUGCAUAAAUGGAAAAGUAUACUUAUUUUUAAUCUAUUCACUCAUUGAGUUACAAGCUCAUAUUUUGUUACCGCUUUUCCUUAUUAGAUAGUGACCGAGUUGAGCAGUAUUGGAGCCUGUCGAUCCACUGAAUUGAGCCAAACGUCAUUAGUUGUACAGUCUACUUUAUCAGAUUAGGUAGUACAUGUUUCUUGGGUUACAUGUAGUUUAUGUUAGAAAAGGUUGUCAUGAGAUCACUAUAUGGUAUAUUUAGUACAUUUGAGAAUUGUUGGUAGUAAACCAAGUAAAUACCGAAUUGUCAAUAUUUUAUUUUGAAUAGUUUGGAUUUUGAGAAAUGAUGUACUUGUUUUAUAUUAUAUGUAUAGAUUCGAGGAAAUUGAUUAUGGAUCCGGUGGUUUUAGUCCCUAUCUAAGAAGAGACUCUGUCAAAAUUUUUUAAAAUUUCCUCAUAGUUAGACAAGUUAAGGUUACGUUGGUGGUGGAUCAGACAUUUAGCUGAUAUCUACCAUCGGCACACGACAUGUGUCAGAUCCAUUAAGGUGAUUUAGGACGGAUCGUGUCAUUUGUCCUAUCAAGAAUAUAUGAUAUUCAAAGUGGGAAACUACAAAAUUACAAUUAUUUGAUCAGCUAUGUGUUGUGGUGGACCUAUUUGCACAAUUAAGCUGUGCUCUGAAUCCUGAUGUGGACUGGUGCAAAUAUAGAAGUUCCAAUAAAUAAAGCUAUUUAAUUUUGGGUGAUAGUGUUGAAGUUUCCAAAUGGUUGUGGGGCAGCGACUGUGAUAGUUGGCCGUGUGGUGUGGUGUUGUGGUGGUGGCGGCGGUGGGUGAUGGUUGGAUAAGAAAAAAUUUCACCAUUUUUUUCUAAAUUUUCCCUUUUUGUCAAUUCUUUGUGCUCGUUUUGUGAUCUAUUUGUUUAUUUUGAAAAGAUUUUGCGUUCUGGCUGAAUUUUCCUUUAUUCCACGUUUAGUUGCUUCCACUUUUUGUUUAUUUAAAUAUGAGGAUAAAUUUGUUAUUUGAUGCAAAUAUAGCGGCAAAAAUGAAUGUAAGGACGUGAUUUGCAAUUAAGCUAAAAGUUGAAAUUUUUUAUUCGAAAAAAAGGUUUAAAUUAGAUUAGUAUUAGUUUGCAACUGUAGGCUAUGAAAAUGUAAAUUUUGCAUUAAAAUAUCCCAAAAAAAAAUAACAUAUACAAAAAUUUGACAAAAUACUUGUCCCUAAUUCAAUAUACAAUAGCAGAAUAUUUAGACAAAAAAUCUUCAUACAAGACAAAAUUAAUAGAAAUAAAUUGAAGGUUAAUAAAAGAAUUGUGACGUAAAAAAGUUAAGGAUAUAAGUGUCAAAAUGAGUAAAAAAUUGGAAAGCUUCGUUGCAAUUAAACCUUGAUUGCAGAUAAUAUAAAUUGUAAUUACCCGUUAUUUAAUUGUUUCCACCAUGAAUCUUAAAUUGGCUCAUAGAUUGGCCCCUCAAAUAAAAACAUAAUCGAUUAAGCUAAGAUAUUAAAGGGGAUAUAAUCCAAAAUCCGUUCAAAUUCAUGCAAUCGGAUGUUUGAAUUGGAAGGGAAAAAAGGGAAGAUUUCUUCCUAUUCUCUAUAUUUUAUUGCAAUCCCAAUUAAAUUAUUUAAUGGCUGAUUGAGAUUGUGAUUAUUUUAAAUUUUCAUUCCUAAGAUUCUAAACCAAAUAAUGAUUGAGACAAUACCAUAUAAUAAAGUAAAUGAUGAAAGAGAAAUAAAAGUUAUUGUUGACCUCGAAUUUUAAUGUGGCCAAUAGAUUCCAAAGUCUCUCACAUCCAUGCAGCCUGAUUUUUGCACACUUAAACAAAUCGUCAGCCACACGUGACUUUCUCCAGUGGUGUUGAAAUUGGCAGUGCGCACUCCGAGAAUUAAGUCAGUUGUAAUAAGUAUAUGAAUGUGGGAAGGGCCUUAGAUGCAAGCCUCCAAUAUAAAAAGGGGUUCGGUUUGGAGAAUUUUCAUGAUAAUAAUAGUAAAGACACUAAAGUUGUAAUUUGAGAUUCUAAAUUUGCAUUACCUUUGGAAUGACACGUUCUGUAAGCUUUUAUAAUAAAAUAGGAUAAAUGUCAACUAUAGGAUGAAAGUAAACUUGGUUUCAUCUACUAGGGAUGGCAAUGGGAUGGGUUUGAGAAGAGGCAGGUCGGGCAUUUUUCCGCCCCGUUACCCAUUUAAGGCGGGGUAAGGCUCCCGGUUACAUGCCCAUUUAAUUUUUUUUUAAAGUUUUUUAUAAUUUAUUUUAUUGCUCACAUUCAUUAAAGUGAGAUAAUAAUGUAGUUAUUAAAAUUUUUAACUAAUUAAUUAAUUUUAAAAGUUAAAUUCUUCAAAUAUAUUUGGUAAAUUAAGGUUUUUAUUGUUUAUCAUAUUUUUUAAAUAAUCUUAGUUGUUAUCUUCCAUUAGAAUUAAUGAAAUUUCGUUGAGUUUUCUAUUUAAAGUAUUGAAUUCUUAAAAAAAAAAAAGGUCAAAUGGUGCAAAGUCGAGCCCCUGUUACCCAUACUUGCUUGUUCCCGACCCAUCCAUUCAAGGCAACACCCCUUGAAUAUGAUGUAUGACGAAUUUUUUUACUAUCCCUAUCAUCUACGCGACUGAGGCAUCUUGUCAAAGGUAUCAAUUAAUCAUAAGCAUUGAAUGCUAACACCAUUUUGUCUCCCAUAAAUUUGACAUGGGAUUUAGACUUGACUUGAUUGACUGAAUAUGAUAACGAUAGCAAUGAAUUUUCACAUCAAUCAUAUACCAAAAAUUGCAUGAAUGAUCUCCCGCUAGGCCCUUCGCAGCCUCUACCAUGAAUAAGGGUUCAGCUCUUUCAUAUGGAGCUGACUCAAUCGAACGAGUUCAUUAUAGCAUACAAGUUUGGCAUCUUCAUGGGAUUCAAUCAAAUUGUCUCUUGGAUAGAUUAACAUUGAGUGCGAACCCAAAUUCACCUAUCACAUAAGAUUUGUUGGAGCCUUGUCAUGCAGGGCAUAAAAGUUAUUGUUACAUCCCAAUCAUUAUAGUCGAAGUCAAAAAAUUAUUUAAUCAAAGUAAAAAAUUCAAUAGGUCAAAGUCGGUCAAAAUAAGGACUUAAGUGAACAAAUGAUUUCAUGGGGCUCAAUUUGUAAUUACUAAUACUUAAAAAGGCUAGAGAUGAAAUAAAUUAGGAAUUUAUUGUCUUAUUUUUCUAUUACUAAGGGCUAAAAGUUAUAUUGUAAACUUGCAAUUACACUAUAUUAUCUAUUAAAAUAAAAGGAAAGGGAUUCAUUUUACAAAGGGAGAAGCUAGAAGGGAAGAGAGAAAUUGAGAAAAGGAAAAAAGGGGAGAGAGAGAGAGAGAGGUGAAGAAGAAGAAGAGGCUGGUUUGGAGAUGGGAAAUGAUAGUUAAGCAUGUGAGAUUUCUAUAAGAAAGUGCCUUCUUUGUUGUUAAUGGACAAAUCCAAAAUUAUAAACAUUGCUUUUUUUGUAGUUGGCUAAAAUGGAGAUAUCGAGCAUUCGAAUACACUAUUCUUUGCACGAGCUGAGAAUCAUCAACCAGUUCGAAACUUUUGAGAAAUAUGCAACCACACAAUAAAACCAUCAAACAAAUAAAGCAAAUAGGAAAGAAAAACUCGUAUUUUGGGGUUGGGCAAAUAAGAAAGAAAUUUCUAAACUCGUAUUUUGGGGUUGGGCAAAUAAGAAAGAAAUUUCUUUGUUGUUUUCCACAUUCUCCCCUUCUCUAUAUUUGUUAAGGCUUAAUCCCUUGUGACAGAGCCCUGCAUAGGGCCCUAGACGUCCAGGGCCUGUCACCCAAGAAUAACUCAUUUGUUAAUUAUAAAUGAAUUUUGAACGUGGCUGAAUAUCCAACAGCCAAUUUUGGAGGCUACAAAAUUACACUUUUGAAGUACAAAUUUGGUCUAGCAACAUGUUUGCACUUUUUACAUCUAUGUGAAUAGUUGUAACUCUAUAUUUAUGCACAAAUUUGGUCUAACAGUAUGUUUGCACUUUUGACAUUGGUUUAGCAAUAUGUUUGCACUUUUGACAUCUACAUGCGAAUAAUUAGAUCUUUAUGUCGAUUAUUGAGCCUCAUGAUUGUUGGAUAUUUGACUCAAAUUCAUAAUUCAUUAUUAUAAUUUGAUGGCAUUCAAUCAAUAUUUAACAUUGAAAUAUCAAUAAAAAUAUCGAUUAAUAGAUUAGGUUUUUUAUAUACUUUACGAAGGAAAACAAAACCACAAAUUUAAAUAUGAAUAAUACAACUGAUGAUGAAAUAUUUGUAGUUAUAUAAGUAAUUAUUAACUCUCAACAAUUGUUUAUUUUCUGCAUACUGAGAUUAGUAUGAUAUGCCCUGUUUACUUGAUUGUAAAGUGUGCCUAAUCCAGACUUGUUCUCUGGAAUGGCAUCACAAUCGCACUGGCUUCAUCCCACACUAAAACGCCACUAUUUAUAAGCCCUCAAUUGAUCGGAUUGCAUUGAAACGCCCAGCCAAGGGCAGUUUUCAGUUGUUUGCGUAACGCUUGUAAAAGUUGGAAACCCGCACUUCAAAAGUUAGUUGCACUCCUCUAUUGACGAUAAGUAUAUAGCUUUUUGUAAUGCUGUCAAAGGUGUUUGGCUCAAUGGGUUGUUAAAUGAAUUGGGAUUUGCUAAUGAUGAGUUAGUGUUUUUUUUUUUUAAAUAAUAAUAAUGCUGAAAAUUUUCCUAAGUAUGUACCGAGUCAAUACCACUUGUUGAAAAUUAUAAUUGUUUAGAUCCAAAUGGGGAAUUAGAACAAUUAAAAGUAAUAGGUCACUUAUUAAUUGAUUUCUAGAUGAUUAAGAUAACUAAUCGAAUUUAAUUAAUCCCAUGUGUCAAUCACAUAAAAUAAAUAAAGAUCAAAAGCGAUAAAGAACACUAAAUAUGAUUACAAAGGAAAAUUCCUAACUGAAUAAAAAAAUUCGACAAACUUAAAAUUCGCUAAAAAUGUUAACUUACAAUUAGUCCAGAUAUUACUAAAUUUUAACUACAUCUGGCCACCUAUAAAUAGUUUUUGUUACAGUUUUUUUUUCUAUUAAUUCACUUGAUAUAUUUAUUUAAAAUAAUAUUGAAUUCAUGUUGGAUUGUUAUAAACUAGAUUAUUUCAUAUGGAAUUCUUCCCAUGAUUAAUUUCAAAACAACAGUAACUUAAAUAAUUUCCUAAUUGACAAUAAUCAAAUGCAGGAUUCAAUUGAAAUUUUCAAUAUUUAAUGCCUGGUUGAUUCAAGUGACUUUGUAUAGUAAUUGAGGCUCAUGAAUAGAUGUUUAUGAAGAUCAAAUAUUGCAGCCCAUUGUAUAGUCUUAUCCUUAAUAGGCCCAGAAAAAGUCAAUGAUAAAACAAAUUCAAAUAAACAAUUUUUCCUGAAAAAUGAAGCAGUAAAAUCGAUCUCAAUUCACUCUGUCCUUGCUGAUUCAUAUAGAGUCUGAUUGGGCCCGAUUUUUUCAUCCAGAAAAUUGAUUUUUUGACCGUUAUUUCACUAUUCCAACCGUCAUAUUUGACUUCUUCUCUCACAGGUGGAUCCCACUUUUCUUCUAACGGUCAAAAAAUCAAUUCUCAAAAUCACUCCCAAUCAGGCUGAUAAUAUCACCGUAAAGACAUUCUUGUGAUGGAUUUGGAAUUUUCGCAGGCUCCUGAUUCUAGUAUCAUGUCAACUUCAUCAUGGGACAUAUCGUCUCUAAGUUUAGCCAAACCCAGUUAUUUGAUUUGCUGAGGAUCCUCCACUAGUUGUCGUCUAUUCCUAGCCAUAAGACACUGACUAGAGCCGAAAAUACAAUAAAUAAUAAUAAAUAAAUAAAAAAUCUAGCCCUACAAUUCAACAGGUGGAAAAUGAUUUGUCAUAUGUAAUCUUAAUAGAACUAUGCUAUCGGUAUAAACAGGGGCGGACUCAGACAAUUUGGGUUAGGGGAUCAAAAAUAAAAUUUAUAGGGUAUCUUCUAAUAAAAAAAGUUAAGAAAAAAAAAAAGCUAAGCUAAAAAUUUUUUUAUUCCCCAAAAUCUAGAGGGUCAAUUGACCCUACAAACCCCCCCCCCAAGGUCCGCCCUUAGGUAUAGAACGUGAUUGACAGAAUUUAUACCGCAGACAACACUUGACAAAAAUUCAUUGAUUUUGAAUUAUUAUGGGUAAAAAAAGCACCAUAUACUGUAAAUAAUUUCCUGUACGCAUCGAAAACGUCUUAAAUACGUUCUUGUAUUGGACUUGUAUAUGAAAUAUUUCUAAGAUUUAAUUGUUGUUAUUCACUCAACUUACAAUGAAUUUCAUAUUGGUUCCAAACUUUAUUUUACUCCUAAUUAUGAGCUUAAAUUUUGAGUUAUUUCAUAUACAAAACAAAAUUAUAUAUAUUAUCAAAUUACGAAUAAAAUAUUUUGUAAAGUUGAGUAAUGAGUCCAAAGUAAAUUAAUAAUGCAGCACGGUUCAAUGACAUAACGUGUAGAAACGGUUUUCUUUCUUAAAUCAGUAGGGCACGAAAAUAUGUAAAGAACGUUGUCUAAUCGAGGUGGAUCUCAAUAAUCAUUUUGUUAAAAAAGUGAAUAAAGUCGAGGAAUUAAUGAAAUAUGGCAAAAAUGAAGUGAUCAACAUUUUAGUAAAUAAAAGUUUUACCAAAUAUGCACCCAAGUAAAUUUAGUUUAAAAACUCUCAGUUAAGGUAAUCAUUCAUUAAAUUCCACAAUAAAACUCAUAUAGAGAAGUUCAGUUCUUAACCAAAAAUUUCAUCAAAGUUUUUUUCCUCAGGUUUUUCGAAGAAACUAAGUUGUGAAAAGAUUCUCAAUAAUUAAUUAAUUAUGCCAAGUUUGAUCUAAAAUAUUCUAAUGGGAUCUUUUAUAGUAAUAAAAUAAAAUAAAACACCAAGUACUAUAAUGAACUACAUAAUAAAGUGCGAGAUGUAAUCAAACAUUACCAAUUAUGAUAAAUAAUUUACUAAAUAUAGUUGCUUAAACUAAUCUAACUUAAUGAUUAAGUAGAUAGUGACUAUAACUCAAAAACUCUGAAUCCACACAAGCUAAAAACUCAAGAAUUCAUUCAUAUUACAGUCAUUAAUUAAUAUUUAACAUUAACUGUCAAGAGAUGCAGUUAACAGAUACAGAGGAACUGAGAUCUAUUGAUAACUGGAUCGACCAGAGCAACAAUGAAAGUCCUCUAGAAGACUAGUACCAUAAGCAAAAGCCACAUAAUAUUUCAUAUUAGCCACCACUAAUUGAACCUCAAUUGGAUGCAGAGUGAGGAGGAGGAGGAGGAGGACGUCCAGUAAAUUCAGAAACGAUUCCUUUGAAAAUAUUUCCCCUUGUUGGCGGAACCGUGGGCCUCAUCCCAGUGGCGGCCACCCUCGCACCGCACCUACCCUGGCCACGAUUUGGGUUGUUAGCACCGCCGUCGCCCUUAUCCCGACUUGGUCCGCCGCUAUAUCCAGUAUCACUCAUCUUCCACUCUUUUUAGCACAGAUUCACGAGAAUUGUGCACUGAACCGGAGUUCUUUUAUUUUUUUCGAACGGAGUUCUUACUUCUAAAGAAUGAGGCAAAAGAGAAGGGUACAAGAGCCCACCAUAAGCACGUGCGAGAUAAUCCUAUUAACUCAUG